rnacentral:rRNA from 1 species
AGCUUGCUACCUGACCUAGCGGCGGACGGGUGAGUAAUGCUUAGGAAUCUGCCUAUUAGUGGGGGACAACAUUCCGAAAGGAAUGCUAAUACCGCAUACGCCCUACGGGGGAAAGCAGGGGAUCUUCGGACCUUGCGCUAAUAGAUGAGCCUAAGUCAGAUUAGCUAGUUGGUGGGGUAAAGGCCUACCAAGGCGACGAUCUGUAGCGGGUCUGAGAGGAUGAUCCGCCACACUGGGACUGAGACACGGCCCAGACUCCUACGGGAGGCAGCAGUGGGGAAUAUUGGACAAUGGGCGAAAGCCUGAUCCAGCCAUGCCGCGUGUGUGAAGAAGGCCUUUUGGUUGUAAAGCACUUUAAGCGAGGAGGAGGCUACUUGGAUUAAUACUCUAGGAUAGUGGACGUUACUCGCAGAAUAAGCACCGGCUAACUCUGUGCCAGCAGCCGCGGUAAUACAGAGGGUGCGAGCGUUAAUCGGAUUUACUGGGCGUAAAGCGUGCGUAGGCGGCUUUUUAAGUCGGAUGUGAAAUCCCUGAGCUUAACUUAGGAAUUGCAUUCGAUACUGGGAAGNUAGAGUAUGGGAGAGGAUGGUAGAAUUCCAGGUGUAGCGGUGAAAUGCGUAGAGAUCUGGAGGAAUACCGAUGGCGAAGGCAGCCAUCUGGCCUAAUACUGACGCUGAGGUACGAAAGCAUGGGGAGCAAACAGGAUUAGAUACCCUGGUAGUCCAUGCCGUAAACGAUGUCUACUGGCCGUUGGGGCCUUUGAGGCUUUAGUGGCGCAGCUAACGCGAUAAGUAGACCGCCUGGGGAGUACGGUCGCAAGACUAAAACUCAAAUGAAUUGACGGGGGCCCGCACAAGCGGUGGAGCAUGUGGUUUAAUUCGAUGCAACGCGAAGAACCUUACCUGGUCUUGACAUAGUAAGAACUUUCCAGAGAUGGAUUGGUGCCUUCGGGAACUUACAUACAGGUGCUGCAUGGCUGUCGUCAGCUCGUGUCGUGAGAUGUUGGGUUAAGUCCCGCAACGAGCGCAACCCUUUUCCUUAUUUGCCAGCGGGUUAAGCCGGGAACUUUAAGGAUACUGCCAGUGACAAACUGGAGGAAGGCGGGGACGACGUCAAGUCAUCAUGGCCCUUACGACCAGGGCUACACACGUGCUACAAUGGUCGGUACAAAGGGUUGCUACCUAGCGAUAGGAUGCUAAUCUCAAAAAGCCGAUCGUAGUCCGGAUUGGAGUCUGCAACUCGACUCCAUGAAGUCG